AAGUCGUAACAAGGUCUCCGUUGGUGAACCAGCGGAGGGAUCAUUACAGAGCGACCCCGGGGUCCCCCGAAGGGGGUGUCCUCGUCAGUCGAUGCCCACUGUGAACCCUACCAAGCCGUUGCCUUUUCGGCGGGCGGCCCCCUGGGAGGGGACCAAUGCCUCUUCGCUGAGGCGUCCGCCGGGGCACACCAAUCUACCCAAACUCUAUUGUCUCUAGUGAGUCUCUGAGCACUAAAGAAAAUGAAUCACAACUUUCAACAACGGAUCUCUUGGCUCUG
rnacentral:misc_RNA from 1 species